rnacentral:rRNA from 1 species
GAUGAACGCUGGCGGCGUGCUUAACACAUGCAAGUCGAGCGGAGCGGCGAACGGGUGAGUGACGCGCGAGUAACUGCCCCCCUCUCGGGGAUAACAGUUGGAAACGGGUGCCAAUACCGGAUAGUGGGGGAUGACUCGGGGCCUAUCGGCUUGUUGGUGGGGUAGUGGCAUACCAAGGCGACGACGGGUAGCCGACCUGAGAGGGGGACAGGCCACAAUGGGCUAAGGUACGGCCCAAUCUCGUACGGGGGGCAGCAGUGGGGAGUAUGGCACAGUGGUGGAGACCGUGUUACAAGGCCCCGUGUUCGGAAAGACCGCCUUCGGGUUGUAAACCGCUUUCAGCCAAUACGCGGUAGUGGCAGAAGAAGCACCGGCUAACUACGUGCCAGCAGCCGCGGUAAUUC